rnacentral:rRNA from 1 species
GGGUUAGUGGCGCACGGGUGCGUAACGCGUGGGAAUCUACCCUUAGGUUCGGAAUAACUCAGAGAAAUUUGAGCUAAUACCGGAUGAUGACGUAAGUCCAAAGAUUUAUCGCCUAAGGAUGAGCCCGCGUAGGAUUAGCUAGUUGGUGUGGUAAAGGCGCACCAAGGCGACGAUCCUUAGCUGGUCUGAGAGGAUGAUCAGCCACACUGGGACUGAGACACGGCCCAGACUCCUACGGGAGGCAGCAGUGGGGAAUAUUGGACAAUGGGCGAAAGCCUGAUCCAGCAAUGCCGCGUGAGUGAUGAAGGCCUUAGGGUUGUAAAGCUCUUUUACCCGGGAUGAUAAUGACAGUACCGGGAGAAUAAGCUCCGGCUAACUCCGUGCCAGCAGCCGCGGUAAU